rnacentral:rRNA from 1 species
UACAGAGGGGGCAAGCGUUGUUCGGAAUUACUGGGCGUAAAGGGCGCGUAGGCGGAUGGCACAGUCAGAUGUGAAAUUCCCGGGCUUAACCUGGGGGCUGCAUUUGAUACGUGUUGUCUUGAGUUCGGAAGAGGGUCGUGGAAUUCCCAGUGUAGAGGUGAAAUUCGUAGAUAUUGGGAAGAACACCGGUGGCGAAGGCGGCGACCUGGUCCGACACUGACGCUGAGGCGCGAAAGCGUGGGGAGCAAACAGG